CAAGACGCAAACGACAGCGUCAGCAGGGCACGGGAAAAUCAGUCCAUUCAAUGUUAAAAGGGCAAGAUCGCAGCGGUAAUUCAAACGGAUUUUUUAUUAUCAACAUAGGACUGACCUGAAUAGAAAAUGCUAAAUUUGAAUGCAGGCUACAAUAAAGGACAAAACAUUGAUAAAUACAAAGCAAACAAGAAAAAAAAAAUGACUCAAAGACAAAAAAAAGAACACAUAAAGGAAGCUGGAGGUGGACAAAGGCAGGAGCGUCCGGCUGCAGAGAGAAAGAAAACAAGAGAGACUCUUUUGUGAGGAGAGGGUGCGGAGCUUCGCAGAGGAUUGCUCAAGUGGAAUGAUCUGGCUUUCUCCCAUAUAAGUCUUAAUAUUUCGAAGCUCCAGGCCCAUGCUGUGCACAGUUGGGGGGCCUGAAGCUCCAGCAGCCACUUAUUUAAGGAAAGAAAAGCGAAAUCUUCAGUGUUCCAGCUUCACUUUCUUCUUACAAAGCCACAGAGGACUGAACACAGACUUGGUCUCUUUAUUAAUUUUCUUUACUUUUCUUUUUACAUCAUUUUAUGUCUUUUUUGGACCCAGAUGUCGACCCUGGAUCAGGAGAUUACAGUUUGAGUUGAUCAACCUGCAAAAAUUUCAGCCAUUUGACAACUAGCUGGAAAUACUAUAUAUUUCUGAGCAGAAGGAAAAGAUCUCAGGUAUGUAAAAGUUAGGGUUAGUAUUCGGUCAUACCUAGUUCUGUAUAAUGGAAUGCUAUUCUAGCAAGACACUGAGAUGCUAAUGCUUGAGUAUUCCCAUUCACACUCACUAUAGAAGCAUAAUGAUGGCUUGAGAAACAGGUAAUGAUUUAAUGAGAGGUUUGAGGAGAUGUGUCAUAAUUCAAUCGAUACGGUACCUGAGGUAGAAUAGUACAGCUUUUAGGAGCUGAUCAAUAUUUGGCUCACCUCUCUGGGUAUGCAGUAUAAGAGCAGCUUUGUGGUGAAAUAUCAUUUAAAGUCAGCAUAUGCUCAUAUUUUCAGAUUUUCCUCUGUGCUAAUAUUGGCUUGACUUCAAAUUCUUGCCAUAGCAGAGAGUCUGGGAUGUUUGGUUUGGUGGGAAGCCAACACUGAAAAUGCCAUAAUAGUUACUGCAGGCCUAGUAGCAACUAAAUUUACAGCCUAUUCAGAACAUGUGAAUAUGGGUUUGAAUGCAGGCUAAUUGUUUGACAUUUCUUUAGUCUAAAUCUGUGAUUAAAAACAGCCCUAAAAUAGCACACUUUCGUCAGGUGGAUGAACUGUAUAAAAUGGAACUGAUUGUUAUUGCAUGUCAUCCACUUGUGUGCAAUAUACUCAAAGUGUACAUGUAAGUCAUUUCAGUAUCUUUGUGCUGUUAGUUUUAACACAAGCAAGGGCAUGAAAUGGGCUGUUUCGUUGCACAUUGCAGUAUCAGCUUAGGAUGAUUACAAGGCUUUAGUAGAUGAGGUGAGAAGUGCAAACUGUUAUUAGAUGAAAGACAACGUAUAAUCCCUUGUAUCCGUCUAGAAGGAACGUAAGAACACUGGUAUUAGACAGAUUCACAUGAAACCCAGGCCAUAAACGGAGCUCUAUGGGUAUUAAACUGUAAAUUAAACUGUCCCGUUCGGAACAAUGACUUUAUAUUCCGUGUAUUUAUGUAAGCAAUUUUUACAUAACUGAUUACCAUCUUGAUGUAAUCUGCUUAUUAACUGAUCAAAUCAAAAUGUGUUGUUCUGUGGCAGAAAAUGCCUCAUGAUUGAAAUACCUUUAUCCAUUAGGGUUUUAUAAUAAUGUUUUUACACUGUUUACAUGCUAAAUAGAAAAUGUAUAGCAAUCAAUAUAAGUAUAUCUUCAUCAUUUUCAUGUGAGAUUACCAUUAUAAAUGUGAAAAGCUGUUUGAAAGCACAAUAAGUAAAUUCAAGAUAACUCUGCAUUAUAUAUUUAGUGUUUGAAAUAUACAACAAUUUUUCAUAUAUAUUUUGCUGGCUAAUUUUCAAAACUGUGCAUUGUUCUAUUGCUAAAAACCAGUUGCUAUAAAACAAUUUAUGAGACAAAACUUGAACAUUGUUAAGGCAUGCAGAGAAAGUGUGUAAUAAUAUUUAAAUAAUUUUAUAUUUCAAGGGAAUAAAUCGCUUUAUGAUGUUUCUUUUCAAAUAUGGCUUUAUCUCCCACUUGAAGUCCUCCAUUUCUGUGUGACAAAGAGCACCUCUCUAGAAUAAUUUGAAUGUUCGUGCACACUGAAAUUUUCUUUAUAAUUUCUUGAGGGUUUUUUCCCCCCUAAUGCAAAACUCACAUAGCCAGAGAAUUAACUUAAUUACUUCUAAUAAAAAUAAAUUCAAUUACAUUGCUUCUUAUGAAAAUAGGCAUCAUUAUACUGGGAGUCUACAUACUGUGAUUUUACAUUUAUAAAUAUCACAACUUUGAUCUCAGCGAUUUUCUCAUUUUAAAGCACACAGUGUACUAUGCCUACAGCUCUGAAUCAUGCAUUCAUUUUUCAAGAGAAUGCUGUAGUGAAUCAGAAACGGUUAUUUUGUGUUCAGGUGAUUUACUACCCAAUCACAGAUGUGGAAGUGCGACUGAAACUGUGCUGGCUUGUAAGAGGUGCAAUUUGAAAUAUAAUUACCAGCAGAGUAAUUAAAACAAUGUAGUUUGUUUCGUACCACAGGUUAUGCAACCCGUUUGAGACAUACAAUUUAGGAUUAAGAAAAAACACAGCUCUAAUUGAAUAAUACCAGUUCAAACAACAUAUUCAUUCUAAAAGUAGAGUACUGUUGUACAGGGGAAUCUAUCCACCCGAACUGAUCCUCAGUGUACAUUGCUGUUGUCCUGUACGCUGUCUCUCAGAAUAAUCUGUUUGUCCAUAUAUAAAGUCUGGCAUCAAAAUGGAAUUUAUGUCUCCUUUGAUAUAAAACGAGGCCUCCAUCUCAAAGGCUGUUGUGUCCAAGGGCAUCUUGAAGUGAUGGGCUAUAUGUGAUAUUCUUGUAGGGUAUAAUACAAUCUGAAAAGGUACAGACAUAAAUUUUCACAUAUUUUCCACCCCUUUUUUCUGACCAUGUUGACGCUAGAUGAAGGUCAUUCCAGCAGUGGCACAGAAUGCUCGUGUGUACGUUGAAGAUACGUGUAUAUUGGGUUUUAUGGGCAUGUCUUGAUGUCAAGGUUGUGCUGACAGCAUAUAAGUGUGUGAGUGAGGAGUGUAUGUCUCGUACAUCUUUAAUCAAUACUCACAUUAAACAGAAGUAUAAUUCUCAAUAUAAUCUGUUUAGCAUUCCAUGGAAGCUUACAGUGAGUGUCUGAUCUCUAAGACUUCAGAUACUCACAUUGAUGGUAAAUGUGUAUAUAUUCUACUAAUACAAUAUAUAUACUGUGUGUGAAUGUACAAUAAAUUGCACUUUGCACAGCCUAGCUCAAGAAUGUACAGUAUUUUCACAUUUUAUUUGCCUUAAAUAUAAAAAAGGCGAAAAAAAUGCAGCUGUUCUUUAUUAGAGUCUAUAAAUAAUGCAAAGUGCAGCAUCUGUCACAGGAUGAUGUCCUAUUUCUUGACGCACAGUCACACAUAUACAAGUGUUCAGAAAACUGACAGUGACGGUGUGAAUGAUGCUGAUCAGAGGGAGAAAAUCUAGUUAUGCUGUAGUGAAACAAACUGGAAAUCUAACAGCAGGCUUCACUUGUCUUGUAUCACUCUCUCAGACAGAAAUACAUAUGCACAUUUUAGAUCUAAUUCUGGAUAUGAUUAUAGGUGGGGAUGAGGAGGAAGAUGUGAAAUGGAGAGAAAUUAGACUCCAAAAAUGUAUUGCUAUGGUUUCAGUGAUAUGUGUUGUUGGAAACGCGUAGCUUUCACAAUGCGCAUUUACCCUCUCUCACUCACACACACAUACAGUCUAUUCCAGGAAAUUAAUUUACUUUUAGUGCCACUAGUAUGAUUUUAAUUACCAAUACAACUGUUUAUGGUUUAUUGCAGGGAAAUUAAAACAGGCAGAUGUCACAUUCAUGAAAUUACUGACACCGGUAAAAAGAUAUUUCAUAAAACCACAGUGUGUGACGAUGCAGUUUACUGUAAAUUGCAUAAAGCUAGAACACCUAAUUAUGCAUAAUUUCUAAGAUAUUUGCUACAGAGAGGUUUCUGGUUUCUCUGAAAGGCUGUACUUUCUGUUGUUCAAACCUGUUUUUAUUUCUAUCCUUCUUGAAUUCUACCAAAACUGGGGUUUAGUGAUCUAUUUAAAAAAAAGAUGGGUUGUUUUGAUUAAUAACAGAAACAGAGCACAGUGACAUUGUGACAUUGAUAUUGUGAGGUUAGAUAUUUUUAUUAUUAUGAAGCCAACGUCUAGCACAUGCUUAACUUGAAACACAUAGAACAAAUUUUUUUCAGCGACUUGCGCACAAACACCACAUUUUUAAGAUGCUGUGUCAAGUUAAAGGGAUAGUUCACCCUAAAAUUAAAAUUAAAUCAUAAUUUACUCACCCUGGUGUUAUUGUAAUGCCGUAUGCUCUUCUUUCUUUAAAGGCAGUUGA